GACGGAGGGGGCUAGCGUUGUUCGGAAUGACUGGGCGUAAAGGGUGCGUAGGCGGUUUUUUAAGUAAGGCGUGAAAGCCCUGGGCUUAACCCAGGAACUGCGUUUUAAACUGAAAGACUUGAGUGUGAGAGAGGAAAGCGGAAUUCCUAGUGUAGAGGUGAAAUUCGUAGAGAUUAGGAAGAACACCAGAGGCGAAGGCGGCUUUCUGGCUCACAACUGACGCUGAGGCACGAUAGCGUGGGGAG
rnacentral:rRNA from 1 species